UUCCGCCAGGAGCACCGCUGAUUAGCUACGUUCGGAACGGAUAACCGCUGAAAGCAUCUAAGCGGGAAGCCGGCUUCAAGAUGAGAUUUCCAUCCCUUUUAGGGUGAAGGCUCCCGGCUAGACUACCGGGUUGAUAGGCAGGAUGUGGAAGCGAGGACUAAAGACUCGUGGAGCUGACCUGUACUAAUAAGCCGAUAUCUUGAAAAC
rnacentral:rRNA from 1 species